CCCGGGAAGGCUCCGUCCUACGUGGACCAAUUUCCUGGGGACUGUGGUGGAACAGCUCCGCUGCCGUUGGAAGCACUUAAAACUAAACCAGAAAAAAGACCAGAAAAUUCUUCAGCAUUGCCUGAACCCAGCGAGGGCAGACCCUUGUAGGGACAAAACCCGGCAGAGGCUGGUGAAGGAAAGCCAGUGGCUGGACUGGAAGCCUUGGAAUAGGGCGAGGCUCAGCUGGAGGCCCAGUAAGGGAAGAUUAACUCGGCCGGUCUAAGCUCUGGCUGGCCCGGCUCCUGCUCACCCCACUGGAGCCUUCAGCUGGGGGUGGGGGGGGUUGUGGAAGGUGCGGGUCCGUCUGUCCCUUGGGAUCUGAUGGGCCUGGAGGAUGCCCCCCGCCCGCAAGCCCCUGCUGGGAUGCUAAUCUCAUCCUGCUAAUUAAAGUUUGCAGUUCUGUCCCUAACUCAGCUCCCCACUCUUGAACAGUAUUAGCUGAGUUGCAAACAAUUGCUGGUCCAGACAGAAGCCAGAGGAAAAAGGCCUCUGGAGUUCACGUUCUAAAGAUAAAAAACGGAUUUGAAAAAUGUUUAUACUUGUAAACAAACGACUCCUAAUGAACAGAGCGAGUUUUGGAAACUGAAUUUUCAGAACCACCCCCCCCAUCCCCCCGCCGUCCCAGCCUGUUUUGUGGUGGUUUCCCCCACCACCUCCCCGACCCCCGUUCCAAGGACACGAGGCUUGGGAUUUGGUGGAUUUGGUCACUGCAGCCCCUCUUGGUCUCUUGACCUCAGAUGAUCAACCAGCGCUCCCCCAGGCCCAGGAUCGCCUCUCCAGGCCGUCUGGAGUCUAAAGCGACAAGCCAGUUCCCCACUAAGACGUGUGGGUCUGGGGCACCACGGCAAGAUAAAGUUAUCUUCAGCUCUGUCCCAGCGUCCACCAGUUUGGAGCUGCAGGAGUCCUCCCUUGAGCGCAUGAAUCAGAAGUCGGGCUCCCAGAAAAGAGAAUACCCCACCCCCAGUCCUUCCCCAGUCCUUUGCUGCCAGCGCUGUGAUAGGGGAAGGCAGGACCGCCCUCCACUCCUCCCCAUGGGCUGGCCUUCCAAGCAACACUCAUCUCUGGGAGCAGGUUUAGAGUUUAGCUGAUGUGAAAGUCCUGCCCCUGGGCAGUGUUUGAAUAGGACCGAAACGACAGAUGACAGCCAGCGCCGUCCAGAACUAGGAGCACGUUGGAGAUGAUGCAGACCAACCACUCCUGCUUCCCUAUCUUACAGGUCUGGAGACCAGGAUUCCAGGAUGAGAUGUCAGCAGGGCCGUGCUCCCUCUGGAGGUGCCAGAGAAGGAACGUUCCAGGCCUCUCUCUGGGCUUCCGGUGCCUCAGGGAGCGCAAUGGACAGAAGACAGGUGGAUGGCCCCCUGUUUGAAUGUGAUCUUUCUCCACCAGACCCUUGGUGGCUCCGGGAAGCUGUGUCACAGGCUGGGCAGAAGAGCAGAGUCAGGCUGGCCUGGCCUUUCUUCCGCGAGCCCAUAGCAUAGGCUGAGCAAGCCCCCACCCCAGAAAGCCAGCCGGUCUCUGGCGGAAGACGGGCAGGGCCAGGCCGCUGGUGUUUUCCUUACCGGACACGACGACCCCACCUCCCUUCUCAGCCUAUCUUUCUCUAGCUUUCGGGGGAGCGAGACUGACCAUGACC